UACGAAGGGGGCUAGCGUUGUUCGGAGUUACUGGGCGUAAAGGGCGCGUAGGCGGCGCAUCAAGUCAGGCGUGAAAGCCCUGGGCUCAACCCGGGAAUUGCGCUUGAGACUGGUGUGCUUGGAGUACGGGAGAGGAUAGUGGAAUUCCCAGUGUAGAGGUGAAAUUCGUAGAUAUUGGGAAGAACACCAGGUGGCGAAGGCGGCUAUCGUG
rnacentral:rRNA from 1 species